rnacentral:ncRNA from 1 species
AUGGUGUCCCACGCAGCUGGUUCGGCCGCGUGACGGCGGCCGAGGCAAGAGGGAACCCGGUGCGAGUCCGGGACUGCCCCGCAGCGGUGAGUGGGAACGACCGCCGUCAACAGCACUGGGCCGCACCGGCCUGGGAAGCGACGGCCAGUAGGCGACCGGCGACCCCGGUCAGGCCCGCGAGUCCGAAGACCUGCCAGCGCGCCGUGCGCCGU